AGUGAACGCUGGCGGUAGGCCUAACACAUGCAAGUCGAACGGCAGCACAGUAAGAGCUUGCUCUUACGGGUGGCGAGUGGCGGACGGGUGAGGAAUACAUCGGAAUCUACUUUUUCGUGGGGGAUAACGUAGGGAAACUUACGCUCAUACCGCAUACGACCUACGGGUGAAAGCAGGGGAUCUUCGGACCUUGCGCGAUUGAAUGAGCCGAUGUCGGAUUAGCUAGUUGGCGGGGUAAAGGCCCACCAAGGCGACGAUCCGUAGCUGGUCUGAGAGGAUGAUCGGCCACACUGGAACUGAGACACGGUCCAGACUCCUACGGGAGGCAGCAGUGGGGAAUAUGGGACAAUGGGCGCAAGCCUGAUCCAGCCAUACCGCGUGGGUGAAGAAGGCCUUCGGGUUGUAAAGCCCUUUUGUUGGGAAAGAAAAGCAGCAGGUUAAUACCCCGCUGUUCUGACGGUACCCAAUGAAUAAGCACCGGCUAACUUCGUG
rnacentral:rRNA from 1 species